AUGAAUUAAUUCCCCUUAUUCAAGACUUUUGUCCUCUAUCUUUUCUUCUACCCCUGAAAAUUUCCCCAUGAGUUCAAAAAGUUUUGAUCAGCACCUUCCACAGCUUAAUCCUACCAAGUAACCAGAGGCUAACCUGGCAAUAAAGGAGUUUGAGGCCACAGUUCAUUGUCUUCUCCAAGGUACCUCCUGGAGGCCGUGUGCUGAAUGAGUCCAUCUGGUUAAUUCCUCUCUCAGUCCCUGUAAGCAAGGAGUCAUCCUGGACACGAAGCGAUUUUGGUCAUUCUGACAUUCUUCUUUUAUUUCCCUCAGUGUAAAUCACCAGAAGAAAAGUGAGUCCAAUUUUAAGGUUCGUUGUCUUCAUUUACAUACUCACAAAGGUCUUGUAUCUCCAACUGUCCUGUUCCUAUCAACGCCAGACUGUGAAGGAAAAAAAGAGUCAUGACGCUCCAUCUUUCAGAAGCAGAAUGCACAGCUGUUUUAAUAUUAAAACCACUUGUACAUCAAGAAGGAGAUGUGGUCUGAUGAAUCAAGGAAGGCUUCAAGGUUUGGAUGGAAAAGACAAAUGGAGAGAGUGUUCCAGAUUGCUGGAUUUAGAUAAGCAAAGACAAGAAGAAAAGAACGAAGACUUGCAUAACUAUGAGAAGACGCGCCUAAAGGAAAACAGGAGAAGAAAUGGCAAGUGGGUUGUUUAGAACCAUUUUUAGAACGGCU
rnacentral:lncRNA from 1 species